CAACCCCACCCCCACAAAGAGAAAGAAAAGCCCCACUUUUCUUAUAUACCUUAAAAUGCUUCCUCAAAUAGGUCAUACCAUUUGUUCUAUCAUUUUUUUGCUUUUUAAUUUCUUGAAUCUAUUUCGGUCCGCAAGUUCAGAAUGCAUAAACUUUAAAUUCUGACUCCGUGCCGCUUCUGUAUGUUGGUUUUUUGAGAGGUUAAAGCUGCCAGCAUGAUCUGGUAAGAACACAAUCCUAUUAUUUUUCAUCUAUAUUUUCUUAUAAAGAGAAGAAAUGAAUUUAAAUUUGAAUUUUUUUUUAAAAAAAAGUUGAGGUUUUUAGUUUCCUUCUUUUGGAUUUGAAAAAAAAGAAAAUUAAAUUUUGUAAGGAUUUUAUUUCUUUGAAGAAAAUAUAGAUAGAUAGCUUUGGUUCCAUCAGGUCAUCUAGCAGCUUCAAUCACUCACCAACAAUACACACAAAGGAAAAAAAAAAGGGCUUCUAAUUUUCACUUAAUUCUCAAUCACAUUCAUUUAUCUCAGUACGAGGCUCUUCAAUGAAAAAAAGAGUUCUUCAUGAAUGAUAGAUUUCAAUGGGCACCACCUCAGAUCAGAUCUUUCAAUAAUCAACAAUUUAAAUUUUAGAUAUAAACUUCUUUUCAUGUAUCGAUUCUUUUGAUAUAUUAUUCAUUCAAAUCGAUUCACGUAUUUGAUAUAUAUUAUAGAGGAAGGCAAUAGAGAAAACAAAUGAGGACGAAGGAGAAAAAUUAAGUGAUUACGUUGCUAUAUCUAGUAAUAAAGUGAUAGUUAAGUCAUUUUCGGUUAAA